rnacentral:misc_RNA from 1 species
GGGCACUGGAAAGAAGAAAGAAAAUACUGAGCGGGAAGGAGGGAAAAAGCCAUUGAGUAUCAAUGAAUUUCUGAAGCCAGCUGAUGGAGAACGGUACUUUGGUGGGCGUGGCCGUGGAAGGGGCCGUGGUGAUCGUGCACCAUUCAGAGGUGGUUUUGCUGGUGGAGCGAUGUCAAACUCUCUGCCCACUCCAUCAAUUGAAGACCCUGGUCAGUUCCCCACUCUUGGUGGGAAGUAGAGCGAUAGUGUGCCAAACUGUGUUUCUUGUCUUGUUUUUAAUUUAGUCUCUUCUUAAUUUAGUAGAGGUAAUGUCUGGAUUCGGCACAAUAACAAUGUUUAUUUUCUUUGGAUUGAUGUCUGGUGUUUUUUUCAAGUGU